CACAGAAGUAUGUAUGUGAUUCAGAUUGAUUUCUGAUGGGAUCUCCUAAGGCUACAGGCCAAUUUGUAAGGAAGAAGAAUCCAUUGAGGACUUUGCAAAACAUCCAUAAUCUGAAGAGGGUAGAGUGAGAUACCUGCUGUGCCUGCACUGAAACAGCUGUUUCAAGAACCUUAAGCAUCUGGGGAAGUCAUCCAGAGAAAGGCCAUCCACUGUGCUUUUGAUCUCUCCACUUCAGGCACUGAAGCACUGCCUGCCCAUAUGCUUGUAGGAGUUCUUCCAAUAGAAGGAAGCUGUCUGAGGAAAAAGGACAUGCUACAUCUAUCUGAUUCCUAUUCCUGUCACAAUCACCACAACACCACUUCACCCUGGAAGCAGUAGAGCUGAUUGGAGGAGCAGCAGCUGAUUCCAGUUUGCAGUCUUUCCACAUACAUGGAAGUCAUAUUCUGGCAUCUCGCAGGUAGCACUAGAAAGCAUCGCUCCUUAGAGAGCUGAGUCUCAGAUUCACAGGAUUCCUCCUCCAAACUUGUCAAUUUGAAUAAUUCCAACCUGGUCUUUUUGUACUCCAGUCUUACAGGUGGCAGCUGCUUCUUUCUGUGAUAGCCUAGUGCCUCCUUUUUGUCUUUCUAGUUCUCUAAGACCCAGUUUACAAUUUUUAAAUCAAAACUCUGUUCAAUAAUCUGAUGAAGUUUCUAUAUUUUGACUAGAGCGACUGAUAAAGAAGUGUUUUUAACUGUGAUAACCAUUAAAGAAACAUUAAAAUAAUUACAGAUUUGUUGUUGAUGCUUGUUAGAAAACUGUCCAAUGUUCUACAGGAACUUAAUCUUUGUCAAGCACUUCUCUAAGUGAUGGGAGUGAAAAAGGCAGGUGGAUCAUUGACCUUAGUAGCUUACAUGACAAUAGGGAUGGAGUGUGAGAGUUAAGUUCUAAACACAUAAGCAAGUCCCUGUUGAUAAGUGCUUUGAUAAAGA
rnacentral:lncRNA from 10 species